UCUCCAUCUUUCGCCGCCCUCACUCAGGCUUUCGAACCCUUGGUUGAGCUGGCACGGCACACGUGGCGCCCAACACGGGGCCUGAGUUCGGGGGAACUGUAGUUGUCAGGUGAAAGGACGCUCCAGUGAAGCACAUGCGAAAAACAAGAAAGAAGAGCGUUUCUGGGAGCACAGAUUUUCCUAUGACAACUCCAGGAGGACACAGUGUCCCCAUGCAGGAGCUGCUGGGACCAGCUGGGACCAACUAUCAACAGCCGCAAGGCCCUAUGGCGGCUGGCCCCUAGGCAGGCUGCUCGGCUCGACAGGAGGCACCUGGGCACCUGCUUCACCCAACCUUCCAGGACCCACCUGUGUCUCUAGGCCUCGCUCCUCAACUCUGGACACCAGGGAGUACCAUCCAGAGUCUCUGAGGUAAGUAUGUCUGUUUUCCAAUGGGAGGGAGGCUGGGGUAGACGAAACCAAAAUCCACAGGAGUAAGUCGAGUGAAAGGCACAGGAGAAUGAAAGCAGGAGGGCCCGUCUCCCCACUGUGCCAGGAGCUCUCCAAGCCAGCGCCAGUCCUGCUCACCUAGCGGGCCCCUGGGGUGGGGGAGGCAGCAACAGACUCAGACUGCGGAUGCCCAGCACAGUGAUGGGCACACCGGGGGCACUAAGUAUUUGUUGGCGAAGCGGAGGGAGUGGAUGGCCUAUUUUGUCUUCAGAUAAUGUGUGACUUCUUUUCCCACUUUCCCCUUAGCACACUCGUCUCAUCUCCCCUGCCCUGGAGUCCCCCAGUCUCCCUGGCUGCCCCUGCUA